GAUGAACGCUAGCGGGAGGCCUAACACAUGCAAGCCGAGCGGUAUUGUUUCUUCGGACAUGAGAGAGCGGCGUACGGGUGCGUAACACGUGUGCAACCUGCCUUUAUCUGGGGGAUAGCCUUUCGAAAGGAAGAUUAAUACUCCAUAAUACAUUGAACGGCAUCGUUUAAUAUUGAAAGCUCCGGCGGAUAGAGAUGGGCACGCGCAAGAUUAGCUAGUUGGUGAGGUAACGGCUCACCAAGGCGAUGAUCUUUAGGGGGCCUGAGAGGGUGAUCCCCCACACUGGUACUGAGACACGGACCAGACUCCUACGGGAGGCAGCAGUGAGGAAUAUUGGUCAAUGGGUGCAAGCCUGAACCAGCCAUCCCGCGUGAAGGACGACUGCCCUAUGGGUUGUAAACUUCUUUUGUAUAGGGAUAAACCUACCCUCGAGAGGGUAGCUGAAGGCACUAUACGAAUAAGCACCGGCUAACUCCGUG
rnacentral:rRNA from 1 species